AUUCCGUAACCUGUUGAGUAUCCGUUUGUUAUUAAAUAUGGGCCUCGUGCUCAUCCUGGCAACAGGAACGACCAUAAAGAAGCCGUCGAGAGAUAUCGGAAGAGUUUUCUUUUCUGUUUUAUAGCCGUACUACCAUGGAAGUCUUUCGCAGAGAGAUAUGGUAGAUGGGCUAGAAGAGCAUGACAUAUACUGUUGUGUCGAUAUUUUCUCCUCGGACCUUGAAAAUUUAUGGUGGGGACACGCAAACUUCUCAACAGGCCGUACCAAUAUCCGCAGCUGGUCUCCAAGGUGAAGAGUCUCUAGUCGAUAGAAUAAUGUAGGUAAGGGAAGUCGGCAAAUUAGAUCCGUAACUUCGGGAUAAGGAUUGGCUCUGAAGAUUGAGAUAGUCGGGCUUGAUUGGGAAACAAUAACAUGGUUUAUGUGCUCGUUCUGGGUAAAUAGAGUUUCUAUCAUUUAUGGUAGUUACUUGUUCCCCGGAUAGUUUAGUUACGUAGCCAAUUGUGGAACUUUCUUGCUAAAAUUUUUAAGAAUACUAAUUGGGUUAAACCAGUUAGUUCUUAUUAAUUAUAACGAUUAUCAAUUAACAAUCAAUUCAGAACUGGCACGGACUUGGAGAAUCCGACUGUCUAAUUAAAACAAAGCAUUGUGAUGGCCCUAGCGGGUGUUGACACAAUGUGAUUUCUGCCCAGUGCUCUGAAUGUCAAAGUGAAGAAAUUCAAGUAAGCGCGGGUCAACGGCGGGACGGUAACUAUGACUCUCUUAAGGAUCGGAAGAUAUGGGUCUGAAUAAUAGCGUAGAAGGGUGAGUCAUUCCGUAAUUCGUAAAUCGUAAAAAUCAGUAUCAAGUUGAUGUCAAGACCUCCUCGU
rnacentral:ncRNA from 1 species